rnacentral:rRNA from 1 species
AUUGAACGCUGGCGGCAGGCCUAACACAUGCAAGUCGAGCGGAAAGGCCCCUUCGGGGGUACUCGAGCGGCGAACGGGUGAGUAACACGUGAGUAAUCUGCCCUUCACUUUGGGAUAACCCCCGGAAACGGGAGCUAAUACCGGAUAUGACCUUCGACCGCCUGGUUGUUGGUGGAAACUUACUUGGGUGGGGGAUGUGCUCGCGGCCUAUCAGCUUGUUGGUGGGGUAAUGGCAGACAAAGGCUUGGGCGGGUAGCCGGCCUGCGCGGGUGACCGGCCACACUGGGACUGAGACACGGCCCAGACUCCUACGGGAGGCGGCAGUGGGGAAUAUUGGACAAUGGGCGGAAGCCUGAUCCAGCAACGCCGCGUGAGGGAUGACGGCCUUCGGGUUGUAAACCUCUUUCAGCACCGACGAAGCGCAAGUGACGGUAGGUGCAGAAGGAGGACCGGCCAACUACGUGCCAGCAGCCGCCGUAACAC